rnacentral:tRNA from 1 species
CAUUAGAUGGCUGAAAGUAAGCAUUGGAAUUUUAAACCAAUUUAUAGUAAAUAACAAAUACUUCUAAUGA